GAUGAACGCUGGCGGCGUGCCUAACACAUGCAAGUCGAGCGAUUUACUUCGGUAAAGAGCGGCGGACGGGUGAGUAACGCGUGGGUAACCUGCCCUGUACACACGGAUAACAUACCGAAAGGUAUGCUAAUACGAGAUAAUAUGCUUUUAUCGCAUGGUAGAAGUAUCAAAGCUUUUGCGGUACAGGAUGGACCCGCGUCUGAUUAGCUAGUUGGUGAGGUAACGGCUCACCAAGGCGACGAUCAGUAGCCGACCUGAGAGGGUGAUCGGCCACAUUGGAACUGAGACACGGUCCAAACUCCUACGGGAGGCAGCAGUGGGGAAUAUUGCACAAUGGGCGAAAGCCUGAUGCAGCAACGCCGCGUGAGCGAUGAAGGCCUACGGGUCGUAAAGCUCUGUCCUCAAGGAAGAUAAUGACGGUACUUGAGGAGGAAGCCCCGGCUAACUACGUG
rnacentral:rRNA from 1 species